CCACGGGCGGCAGCAGUGGGGAAUAUUGGACAAUGGGCGAAAGCCUGAUCCAGCCAUGCCGCGUGUGUGAAGAAGGCCUUCGGGUUGUAAAGCACUUUCAGUGGGGAAGAAAGCCUUGGGGCUAAUACCCUCGAGGAAGGACAUCACCCACAGAAGAAGCACCGGCUAACUCCGUGCCAGCAGCCGCGGUAAUACGGAGGGUGCGAGCGUUAAUCGGAAUUACUGGGCGUAAAGCGCGCGUAGGCGGUCUGAUAAGCCGGUUGUGAAAGCCCCGGGCUCAACCUGGGAACGGCAUCCGGAACUGUCAGGCUAGAGUGCAGGAGAGGAAGGUAGAAUUCCCGGUGUAGCGGUGAAAUGCGUAGAGAUCGGGAGGAAUACCAGUGGCGAAGGCGGCCUUCUGGACUGACACUGACGCUGAGGUGCGAAAGCGUGGGUAGCAAACAGGAUUAGAUACCCGUGUAGUC
rnacentral:rRNA from 1 species